GAACCAUCGUUUGAGAAAAUGUGGGAGCAUUCGUCGCAUGAGAUAAAUGGAGGGAUGACUCAAUUUAUGCAAUGGUGAUGGGAGCUGCUAAAUGUUUUUAUUGAAAUUUAUUUAUUUUGUACCCAUUGCAAUAAGGAAAACAACAUUCGCAUGCGCUCAAUCACGACGACGGACGACGUCCACCUUGGGUUUAGCAGCAGUCAAACAACAACAUACGCCGGCUUCCUGGCAAUGAGAUCCCUUGGUGUAACCUACGCCAGCACACCAAUCCCUGCACUUAGAUUUGGUGCAACCAUCUUCAAGCCCACUGCAGUAUUCUACACAAAAAGAUUAAAUUAAUUAGCAUAUUAAUUACAAUAUAUCUUCAUUCGUCGGUUCAACUGCAAACAUAGAUGUAGAGAUUUUUUUUAGGUAUAUACACAAUAGGGGGAAAAGGAUGUUAACCUUUUGGAUCAGCAUCACAAGACGACAUCACAGUUGCCAUCACCAACACGAGGGCCGCCAACCAUACAAGACUUGCAUUUCUCUUAAUAAACGCCAUGACAAGAUACAAUGCUAGCUAUGUAUUGAUAUCCUCUCUUCUUUUUGCUGUGUGACCUGAUCUGCCAAAUGUGUUGACGAGCAACUCAUUUUGCUAGCAUUUAUAUAGGGGCGAGCACGCUACCGAUCCUAAGUUUUAUGGUGGUAAUUAAAUACGAUCCUAAUAUUAAGAUGGAAUUAAUGAAUUGAUUUAUGCAUAUCCUUGGAUAGAU
rnacentral:lncRNA from 1 species